ACGGGUGAGUAAUACAUCGGAACGUAUCCUGGAGUGGGGGAUAGCCCGGCGAAAGCCGGAUUAAUACCGCAUACGCUCUGAGGAGGAAAGCGGGGGACCUUCGGGCCUCGCGCUCAAGGGGCGGCCGAUGGCGGAUUAGGUAGUUGGUGGGGUAAAGGCCUACCAAGCCGACGAUCCGUAGCUGGUCUGAGAGGACGACCAGCCACACUGGGACUGAGACACGGCCCAGACUCCUACGGGAGGCAGCAGUGGGGAAUUUUGGACAAUGGGGGCAACCCUGAUCCAGCAAUGCCGCGUGUGUGAAGAAGGCCUUCGGGUUGUAAAGCACUUUUGUCCGGAAAGAAAUCAUCGGGGCCAAUACCCCUGGUGGAUGACGGUACCGGAAGAAUAAGCACCGGCUAACUACGUGCCAGCAGCCGCGGUAAUACGUAGGGUGCGAGCGUUAAUCGGAUUUACUGGGCGUAAAGCGUGCGCAGGCGGUGCUGUAAGACCGAUGUGAAAUCCCCGGGCUUAACCUGGGAACUGCAUUGGUGACUGCGGCGCUGGAGUAUGGCAGAGGGGGGUGGAAUUCCACGU
rnacentral:rRNA from 1 species